rnacentral:rRNA from 1 species
AAUGUCCGGGGCUUAAGCUCAUCACCGAAACUACGGAUUGUUUUUUGACAAUGGUAGGGGAGCAUUCUAUAAGGAUUGAAGCAGUACCGUAAGGAGUUGUGGACUUUAUAGAAGUGAUAAUGCCGGUAUGAGUAACGAUAAGAUAGGUGAGAAUCCUAUCCGCCAAAAGUCUAAGGUUUCCUGAGGAAGGCUCGUCCGCUCAGGGUCAGCCGGGACCUAAGCCGAGGCCAAAAGGCGUAGGCGAUGGACAAUCGGUUAAAAUUCCGAUGCUACCUCCUUACCGUUAUAAGUGAUGGGGGGACGCAGUAAGAUAAGCCAGCCUGUUAACGGUUAUUACAGGUUGAAGCACGUAGGAGGAUCCUUUAGGUAAAUCCGGAGGAUUGUAAACUCUAAAGUGUGAUCUGGAACUUCUACGGAAGUGAAGUGGUUGAUUCUACACUGCCAAGAAAAUCCUCUAGCAAGGUAAGUGGUACCCGUACCGUAAAUUGACACAGAUAGACAGGAAGAGAAUUCUAAGGCGCGCGAGAGAACCUUCGUUAAGGAACUCGGCAAAAUAGCCCCGUAACUUCGGGAGAAGGGGUGCCUCAUUAGAGUGUAUGCUCGAAGAGGUUGCAAUGACUAGGCCCAAGCGACUGUUUACCAAAAACACAGGUCUCUGCUAAGACGCAAGUCGAUGUAUAGGGGCUGACGCCUGCCCGGUGCUGGAAGGUCAAGGGGAAGUGUUAGGUGUAUACUGAAGCACUGAACUUAAGCCCCAGUAAACGGCGGCCGUAACUAUAACGGUCCUAAGGUAGCGAAAUUCCUUGUCGGGUAAGUUCCGACCUGCACGAAUGGCGCAACGACUUGGGCACUGUCUCAACGAAGGACUCGGUGAAAUUGUAUUACCUGUGAAGAUGCAGGUUACCCGCGACAGGACGGAAAGACCCCGUGGAGCUUUACUGUAGUCUGAUAUUGAAUUUUGGUACCAUAUGUACAGAAUAAGUGGGAGGCAUUGAGAUCGGCACGCUAGUGUCGGUGGAGUCACAAGUGGGAUACCACUCUUAUUGUGCUGAAAUUCUAACCAUGUGCUGUGAUCCAGUGCUGGGACAGUUUCAGAUGGGCAGUUUGACUGGGGCGGUCGACUCCUAAAUUGUAACGGAGUCGCCCAAAGGUUCCCUCAGUGCGGACGGAAAUCGCACGAAGAGUGUAAAGGCAGAAGGGAGCUUGACUGCAAGACAUACAGGUCGAGCAGGUACGAAAGUAGGGCUUAGUGAUCCGACGGUAGAGAAUGGAAUUGCCGUCGCUCAACGGAUAAAAGUUACCCCGGGGAUAACAGGCUUAUCUCCCCCAAGAGUUCACAUCGACGGGGAGGUUUGGCACCUCGAUGUCGGCUCGUCACAUCCUGGAGCUGAAGCAGGUUCCAAGGGUUGGGCUGUUCGCCCAUUAAAGUGGUACGCGAGCUGGGUUCAGAACGUCGUGAGACAGUUCGGUCCCUAUCCGUCGUGGGCGUAGGAUAUUUGAAGGGAUCUGUCCCUAGUACGAGAGGACCGGGAUGGACAUACCUCUGGUGUACCAGUUGUUUACCAAAAGCAUAGCUGGGUAGCUAAGUAUGGAUCAGAUAAACGCUGAAAGCAUCUAAGCGUGAAACUAACCUUAAGAUGAGAUAUCCCAUAGAAUUAAUCUAGUAAGAUCCCUGAUAGACUAUCAGGUAGAUAGGCCAGAGGUGUAAGAGUAGUAAUACUUUUAGCUGACUGGUACUAAUAGAUCGAGGGCUUAAUCUA